rnacentral:lncRNA from 10 species
AUUUUAAAAGCAAAAUGACUCUUGGGAGGUAGAUUCAAUGUGAGGCUAAUCUCCGAGGUAUAGGAAAUACAGGAAGGAGGAGCAACAGGUCGGGUAGUGGUGGAAGCAGGUUUGGAAAAUGUGAUUAGUUUUGUAAACGUUUUUGAGUUUGAAUUGCCACUGGGGAAGGCUUUUGGAAAUUUAUUUCCAGAGUUGAAGACUGAGCUAUCAUUGCAGUUUGCUCAGCUAUUUACUGAGCUAUCUACUGUCAAUUUGGAUAGUAUCUACAGUUUUCAUUGUAGAUACUGGAUACUUGGAUUGGCUGGUGCACCCUGUUUGUGAGACUCACUGGAGUUUGAAGAGAUGACCACUGGAAAAUAUCC